rnacentral:rRNA from 1 species
CCUACGGGUGGCUGCAGCAAGGAAUUUUCCGCAAUGGGCGAAAGCCUGACGGAGCAACGCCGCGUGGGGGAGGACGCUUUUCGGAGUGUAAACCUCUUUUCUUGGGGACGACGAACGACGGUACCCGAGGAAUAAGGACCGGCUAACUACGUGCCAGCAGCCGCGGUAAUACGUAGGGUCCGAGCGUUGUCCGGAGUUACUGGGCGUAAAGCGCGCGCAGGCGGCUCUAUAAGUCUGGCGUGAAAGCCCCCGGCUCAACCGGGGAGGGUCGUCGGAGACUGUGGAGCUUGAGGGCGGUAGGGGCUGGUGGAAUUCCCGGUGUAGUGGUGAAAUGCGUAGAGAUCGGGAGGAACACCUGUGGCGAAGGCGGCCAGCUGGGCCGUCCCUGACGCUGAGGCGCGAAGGCGUGGGGAGCGAACGGGAUUAGAUACCCGUGUAGUC